rnacentral:rRNA from 1 species
GGACUACUGGGGUAUCUAAUCCUGUUUGCUCCCCACGCUUUCGUGUUUCAACGUCAGAAAUGGACCAAGAAGCUGCCUUCGCCAUUGGUGUUCCUCUCGAGAUCUACGCAUUUUACCGCUACUCCGAGAAUUCCACUUCUCUCUUCCAUCCUCAAGCACACCAGUAUCUGCUGCUGGCCUCCGGUUAGGCCGGAGAAUUUAACAACUGACUUAAUAUGCCGUCUACACACCCUUUACGCCCAAUGAUUCCGAAUAACGCUUGCACCACUCGUAUUACCGCGGCGGCUGGCAC